CAGUCGCCGCGGUAAAACAGAGGGUGCAAGCGUUAAUCGGAAUUACUGGGCGUAAAGCGCGCGUAGGUGGUUUGUUAAGUUGGAUGUAAAAUCCCCGGGCUCAACCUGGGAACUGCAUUCAAAACUGACUGACUAGAGUAUGGUAGAGGGUGGUGGAAUUUCCUGUGUAGCGGUGAAAUGCGUAGAUAUAGGAAGGAACACCAGUGGCGAAGGCGACCACCUGGACUAAUACUGACACUGAGGUGCGAAAGCGUGGGGAGCAAACAGGAUUAGAUACCCCCGUAGUCCCUGUCUCUUAUAU
rnacentral:rRNA from 1 species